AGUCAACUUAGAAUAUUUACACCCAAAUGACAUUCAUGUACAGAGAGAUGUUCACAUAUGUAGCAGCAUUAUAAAUGCUGCAUAUUUCAUUGGAACUCCAUGAAUCACUGACAGUUUGCUUUUAAAGGUUCUGCUUCACUACAGAAAGGAAGGAAGAAAGCAAGGAAGGAAGACCCAAACACCUAAAACCAGGAAUAAAAAAACUUUUAUUCUCAUCCCAUUGACACUUAGAGCUCCACUAACUUUAGCACGUUAUUCUGACAUAUACCAGAACAAGAGAAGAACCAAAUUAAAUGUACCUCCAACUGCACUCUCUUCCCUCUGUGUACGUUUGUAUGCUACUGGCUCUUUUGCCCUAGAAAUGGUUCUCCAGUCUUCUAUUUGUCACAGCACAAAGACACUCCCGAGGCUGUCCUGAAGUUCAUUUGCUGAGGUUAUACAGGACACUGAGUGCCCUGACAUCAACACGCUGAAUAUAAGGUGCUGCUGGAAUUCCAUCUUUGAGUUUAGUUUUCUCAUAAAA